CGACCGGCGCACGGGUGAGUAACGCUAUCCAACCUGCCCUUUACUAUGGGACAGCCCGUCGAAAGGCGGAUUAAUACCGUAUGUUGUCAUGUUGAUGCAUAUUUUCAUGACCAAAGGCUUCGGCCGGUAAAGGAUGGGGAUGCGUCUGAUUAGCUUGCCGGCGGGGUAACGGCCCACCGGGGCGACGAUCAGUAGGGGUUCUGAGAGGAAGGUCCCCCACAUUGGAACUGAGACACGGUCCAAACUCCUACGGAAGGCAGCAG
rnacentral:rRNA from 1 species